ensembl:snRNA U6 U6 spliceosomal RNA
GUGCUCGCUUCAGCAGCACAUAUACUAAAAUUGGAACGAUACAGAGAAAGAUUAGCAUGGCCCCUGCGCAAGGAUAACACGCAAAUUCGUGAAGCAUUCCAUAUUUUA